rnacentral:rRNA from 1 species
GCUGUGAUGGGGAGAAGACAUUGUGUCUUCGAGUCGUUGAUUUCACACUGCCGAGAAAAGCCUCUAGAUAGAAAAUAGGUGCCCGUACCGCAAACCGACACAGGUAGUCAAGAUGAGAAUUCUAAGGGGAGCGAGCGAACUCUCGUUAAGGAACUCGGCAAAAUGACCCCGUAACUUCGGGAGAAGGGGUGCUCUUUAGGGUUAAC